AUUAAGUAGUACUUAAGUAAACUAUAAGGCCGGGGUACACUGUGAACAAAUCUGUGUAAAUGGCCAACUGCAGCGAGAGUUUCCCAAACACAUCCAUUCUAUUCCCAGAGAUAGAGGACGAUGCAUUCUUCAUCGUUUCUGCUGUUAUUGGGGGUAUCUUUUUGGUUCUGAAUCUGCUCAACUUUGCGGAAGAGUUAUGGUUCCUGUGUAGGUACAACUCGAAUGCUCCUGCCAGAAACUACACCACCUACAUCCUCAUCCUGUUUCCGGCCUUAUCUUUAUGUUGUGUUAUGGGCCUUCUAGUUCCUCGUUCAACAUUGUUCAUGGAAUUUACUACUUCCACGUAAGUACAAACCAAUAAAUAAGCUUCUUGUACACAAAUAAUUAUAUUUUUAAAAUUCUUCCUAUUGUAUACUUUCUAACACUUUAUCCGUUUAAGAUUACGCGCCAUUGCUAUCUUUGUUUACACGAGGAUCCUAAUUGGUUACUUUGGCGGAGAAGACAAGCUAUUGGCUGAAAUGACAGAUUUCCCCAUCACCUUUCGAACGCCGCCCUGCUGUUGUUGUUGUUUUGCUUGUAUAAAGCCAUCUACCAUAACUAGUAAAACCUUCCAAGUAAUUAAUGCCCUCUGUGUUCAAUUAGUGAUCAUCCGGCCCUUUACAAUGCUGAUCUUAUUUCUCUUGUGGGUGGACAACAGAUAUGAACUAACUGACAAAAUGAGUACAUCCAAUCCUGGUACUUACUUUCAAUUCAUCAACAUCGCCAGUCUACUCCUCUCGAUGUGGGCAGCAAUCGUGUUGACAAAGGCUGUAGAAUGCAAACUCCCAAACAGAAGGAUCCGCGCCAAAUUUCUCUCAGUUCAACUGACGAUGGUUUUCUCUGACGCCCAGAGGUCAAUCCUGACAAUCCUAGCCUCCAGUGACGUCAUUGACUGCGUGGGUACACGUGGUCCUAUGGUUCAAGCCUAUCGUUACCACUAUGCCCUUCUAGUGCUGGAAACCUUCUUGUUGUCUCUCUUAGCCAGAUACGCCUACAGAUUUCAGGAUCCGCCAUACCAGUAUGAGAAGAUGGAGGGGCAAGUUGAUGAAAAGAACUGAGAUUCUCCUGCAGUGCGUACCAUCCGUGCGUUGCUGACCGCCUGCAGCUACCAUGCCUGUGCAUUGCUUGCAGACUGCAUAACAAAGUCCAUGUACCGCACAUAACAGAAUUUGGCUUCGAGAUUCUUUCAGCUAAAACAAAUGUCAGCUAAUUUUUAGAAACAAAUGUCACUAACAAAUGUCAGAAAACGAUUUAUUGCUUAGUUAAAAAAAAAUAUCGAUGAUGUAAAUAUGAUUUGUUAAAUUCCAAGCUCUCUGAUUGGUUCAUAUCCAACUAUCUAGAAGAACAAAGAUAACAUUUAAUUUUCUACACAUUGAUUGUCCAAUAAAAUAUUCCUUAAUCAGUUUCCCAAUUUGUUCGGCAAUGGCUUCAAACUAAAAUUUUUGCUUUAUAACACUCAAUUUGAUAUGUCUGUAUUAAUCAUAUAAUAAAAUAAUUAUUGCUAUUUU
rnacentral:misc_RNA from 1 species